rnacentral:SRP_RNA from 1 species
UGUGCCAUCGCGAUUCAGUAUUAUGAAUCAGGUCAGGACCGGAAGGUAGCAGCCUUAAGUAUUUACUGUUUGUGCGGUGGUUUUAAUU